CAGUUGACUUUGAUUCACAUGAGUUUUUAUCUUGGUUUUGAAACCCAGUAGAUCAAUUCAAUAGUACUUUAUCUUAGGUUUAUAAUUUAGUAUUCACCCUUGAUUAUACCCCAUUCUCAUUAUGUGACACUUUUUUUAUGCUUCACUACCAUUAUAAACUCAUUUUUUCUUAGUAUAUUUUUCACAAUACAACUACAUAGAUACUUCAAGUGAAGGUUAACGGCUUUAUUAAUUAGCUGCAACUAUAUUUUGCUCGUGGCUGUGACAUUUGGUUGCUACUGAAAGUGAUAAGUGAAAGAUGGAAGAAACAAUUCGUAAAUACUGUCAGCACUAUAUACCUGAGGACAUGUGUCCUUACAUUAAGUCAGGGUUUUUAGCAAUCCUGGUGGUGUCAGGUACAGCCUUUCUGUUUAGUUUAUUCAACAGACUACGCAUGCGUGGGAAAGUCAAAAGAGCUAUGGAGGAAGCCCGCAGUAAACGUGCAGAACAACUAAAGUCUUUAAAGGAAAAGUUACAGAAAUCAAGUCUUACUGAAGAAAUGAGAAAAAAAUUCUAUCAUUAGACAUUGUCCAACUUCGAGACGACUCAAAGACCGUUCAUUAAA